AUCAAUUUAAAUUAUUUUAAUUUGAAGAAACUCUUCUAACUUACCUCAUUGACAUGUAAAGGAAUGAAGGGAACAUGUUUUAUCCAGAUAUGCAUUACCUAUCCCUUUGGUGGUCAAUAUUCUUAAUUUCACAGUUUCUCUCAUCUUAAAAACAUCAAGAUAAGAAGAAAGAAACACACCACACUAGACAAGUGUUAUGGUUUUGAAUGGAAUGAAUACAUACUGCUCAAGAACAGAAAAUAUUCCCUAUUAUCUUGCCAAAACGGCUGAGACUGUUACAUCAUUAAUAGAACGAUUCUUGGAAUUUUCUGAAGCUGAUGCUUCUUUAGAGGUCAAUUUUCCAACAGAAAAUGCAGGGUGAUUGGGUUUUGGAAGAUCCAUUGUGUCACUUCCUAGCAUUAGAACAACCGUAGACAUGGUUGGUCUAUCUGCUGCAUCUUGUUGAACACACAGCAAUCCAAUGUGUAAGCACUUGACAACCUCACUAGCUAUGAAGGAUUUUAUCAGUGCUGGAUCCAUCAAUUCCAAACAUUUUCCUGCACACCAUAUGCUCCAAGCCUGCAAGUAAUUGUGAUUUGUGAAUGUUGUUAAGGUCUAGUUAGUAUGGUUCAAUGACUCCUUGAACAAUAUGAGAGAAAACUCACAUAUAAAAGAAGACUUUGACCAUGUUCUGAUCGAUGGAAUCCACUGUUCUUUCUUCCACAAAUGAUUUCUAGGACAAGAACUCCAAAGCUGAACACAUCUGAUUUCACAGAAAAUAAUCCUUCCAUAGCAUACUCUGGAGCCAUGUAUCCACUGGAGGGAAGCAAGAGAGCUUUGUUAUUCCUCUUUUAAAUUGAAAUGUUUGAGUGGUUAAAACUGCAUUAGAAAAAGCCUAUUAUUUAAAGCAAUGCUAGGUAUAAGUAGAACUCACUAGGUGCCCACUACUCGUUUUGUCUUGGCUUGGUUCUCUCCUAUUUCAAAUGCCCUGGCCAAUCCAAAAUCCGAGAUCUUGGGAUUCAUCUCAUCGUCUAAUAGAACAUUGCUAGCUUUGAGAUCUCUGUGAAUUACUUUGAGUCGAGAGUCCUCAUGAAGAUAUAAAAUACCUCUUGCUAUUCCAUUGAUAAUGCUUAAUCUUAGUCCCCAAUCAAGUUGCUUUCUCUUCUCAUCAUCUGACAAUGCAAAGAAAAACAAAACUUAAGGACUCAGCAAAUACCAAAUAGUAACUCGUGGACUUAGCAUGGAAACAAAAAAAAAAACUUUAAAACAAGAAAACUCAUUACAAAUGUUAUUCACUAAAACUAUUUGUUAUUCCAUAUGGCCAAAUUAAAAUUUUGUGGUUGAAACACAGAGCUGGAUCUUUUGACUACUAUUUUUCCGACUGGAUUUUGUACCCUCUCCUCUGCUUAAAAAGCUUUGUGUAAGGGGUAAGGGUGUUCUUUGUGUUUUCAGCAGGAGCUUUGAUGGAGUUGGCCCUAGUCAUGUGUAUAGGAUGCUGGUUUGGGGUCUUGGAGAGUGCAGGCGCGAGGGGUAAGAAGUAAGUAGCUAGGCUUCCUUUUGCAGCAUGGUCCCUGUUUGUAAGUGUGAAUGGAUAUUGGUUUAUGAACAUAGUUGCUGUUGCAACUCUGUAAUGUUAAUUCAGUUGUAGAAGUGUCAGAGACAUAGUAAGGUGUCUGUUUUGUGGUGCUGUCUCUGGACUUUUAUAUAUGGGUUGGGAUACCCUUAAGUGUCCCCUUAUAUUCAUUUAUUUUUGCUGAUAAAAAAAAAAACUAAAACUAUUUGUAAAACAUACCACCAAAGAGGUAAAAGUCGAGGCUUGCAUUACACAUAUACUCAUAUACUAGUAUCUUCUCAUUUUCCUCCAAGCAGCACCCCAAAAGUCUCACAAGGUUACGAUGUUGCAAUUUAGCUAUAAACAUAACUUCAUUCUUGAACUCCUGUGAGCCCUGACCAGAAAAUUGUGAGAGCCUUUUCACUGCAAUUUGUCUUCCAUCUGGUAGAAUUCCCUAAUAAAAGUUGCAAGAAAUGAGAACAAAUAGAAAAAUACCAAAUGUGAAGAAUCUGUCAAAUUCCAAAUCAUUAAUACCUUGUAAACAGAGCCAAAUCCACCUUCCCCUAAUAUAGAUUCUUCUGAAAAGUUAUUAGUACUAUGUAGAACUGCGAUUAAUGGGAUUGUAGGCAGAUCUCCAUUCAAUUUUUCCUCAUCAAACGUCAUCUUAUCUACAAUGACAUGUUUUUGAGUUUAUAAUUGAGCAUGUGAAAGCAACAUAUUUUAAAAAAUCAAGCAAGUGUUAUUGCAGCAAAUUACCUUUUCUUACUCUUUUCCUGUACCAGAAGCAGUAGACACUGAAACAUAGUAGAGCUACAGACCCCAACACACUAGAGGAAAUGAUUAACUUUCUUGUCUUACUAGCACCUCCAUUGCCUACCACAGUAUAAAAGAUGAACAAUUAUAUUUUUAAUCUUUUACACAUUAUUCAGAUUCACAUUGUGCAAGAAGAAAGAAAAGAUAAAUGCUCAAAAUCUGAAUAAAUUUAUUAUUAUUAUUAUUAUUAUAACAGAAACAAAAAUAAGUGUGAUAGGUUUGCAGAUUAGGUAUAGCAAUUGAAGAGGGUCAACGUAAUGUCAAUCACAAGUUAUGGAUCAAUGUCACUUCACAUGCAUCCAAUACUAAUCAGGCCCUUUCAUAAAAGUCUUGUUUUGGAUAGUAAUUUGCAAAUUAAGUUUUUUGUUUGUCACGUAUCAGCUUGGAUCAUACAGGGGGAAAAGAAUCAAUUGUCGUAUAAAAAAUGUAACAUCCUAAUACAGAUCUACACCACAGAACUGGCAAAGGGAAAUAGGGAAUGGAAGAUAAGACAGCUAUGAGGUUCUGUUUAUUUGCAAGAUAAACAGUCCUACUGCCCAGAGCUAGGGUCCUCUAGAGUAACCAACAAGGUUCUCUAUCUAACAACAGCAGAACAGAAUACCCCCUCUUCUCUAUACACAAGUGAUACUAAUAACAGAAAAAUAUUGUUAAGACGGUCAAGUGGUUCAGACUGAUAAUGGUUUUGAAUUCUGUUCAGAACUAUUCAACAGCUUCUGCAAGGAGAAUGGUAUUGCAAGGCAUCAGAGAGUAGUAGAAACUCCUCAGCAAAAUUGCCUAGCUGAGAGAUUCAAUAGGACCAUUCUGAAAAAAGUGAGAUGCAUGUUAAGUGUUGAAGUUCCAAAAGUGUUUUGGGCUGAAGUUGUUGUUACCUUUACCUACCUGAUCAAUAGAUGUCCCUCAAGAGUGUUGGAGAUGAAGACUCCUAAAGAAAUCUAGUCAGGACAUUCCCCAAACCUUGAUCUUUUUAGAAUUUUUGGUUGUGAUGCCUAUGCUCACAUGAGGCAAGGAAAACUGAAUGCGUUAAAUGCAUGUUUCUUGGCUAUCCAGAAGUUUUUAAAAGGAUAUUGUCUAUGGUCUCUUAAGCCAGAAUUGAAGAAAUUAUCAGCAGGGAUGUUGUCUUCAAUGAAACUUAAGUGACUUAUAAGCCCAGAGUUUCCGAAUGUGUGCCUGUGAGUAGGGGGAGUCUGAUAAAGAAGCAUCUAAUUUCCUACAAGAUAAUGCGUUAGAUGAUCUGGUAAAUGAAAGACAAGAAGCUUCUAAUGAAGACAAACAGUCUCAUGAUUACAUGCUUGCCACAAAUAGAAUGAGGAGAAUAAUAAGAGCUCCAAAAAGGUAUGGAUAUGUAGAUCUUAUUGCAUAUGUUUUAGUGGCUACAAGUGAGAUGUUAGACGAUGACCCGUUUAGUGUAUCCUAGAGCACAAAAUGGUUAGACGCCAUGAAGGAGGAGAUGAAGUCACUUUAUCAGAACAAUACUUCGACUCUUAUUAGUAGACCUAUGGGUUCUAGGUUGGUCAAUUGCAAAUGGAUUUUCAAACGUAAAGAUGAUAAUCCAAAAACAAGUCAACGGAAAUUCAAGGCAAGAUUUUGUGAGGCAGUAAAUUCUUUCAUUGCUUGGAUUUGAUCCAGCUGAUUGGAGAUUAAGUCUGCGAUGGGCUAAGUGGCAGACAAGAACUUGUCUUCAGAAGAUUUCUUUUGAACCAUGGUAGAGAUUUGUGAAAAAAAUGCUCUAGUAAAAUCUCGUCUUUAAGACUCCUAGACCAUUGACACUACUAGAUUGUCUCAUUAGACCAUCUAGUCUCAUACCGUCUACUAGACCUGGAUUAUCUGAUGAAAUCGUCUAGUGGUUGCUCUAUUAUGAAACGAGAAGCAUUGUUCACGUGUCUUUCUCGUUAGUCUUAGGCACCUUUCAUGUGUGUUAGUUAUAACGGUAUUUUCUCUAUAAAUAGGACCUUGUCCCUUCUCUAGAAGCUAACCUUUUAGUAGAAUGUUUGAGUCAUAUCUGAGUGUGAGAGUUUGCUGAGAGAGAAACUACUAAGUUGUAAUCUCUGUGUUUUAUAGUGAAUUCUCUCCGUGGAUGUAAGUUGAAGUUCGUUAAUACUUCAAUCAAACCACGUUAAGUUUCUCUGUGUGAUUCUCUCUUCUUCCUCUUUUACUAUUUACCUUCUACCGAUUAGAAGGUGUUGCUUCUCUGUUAUUGUUUGUGUUUCUGUGGUCAGAAUGAAUUUGUUGAGCUAAUUCUCUUACAAUAACAAUCACAUAAUUGAACAUACUGGAUCUGAGCCAUUACAGAAAAAAAAAUGUCAAGUAUGUCACUUUUAGAAUAUUCUUAAUAUAGGAGACAGUCCCGUGAAAAUCAACCACAGUUUCAACUUCUAGUAAAAGUACAAGACAACUGUUUCCAAUAGAACAAGGAACUCACCUAGUUAUCUUGAGCCUUCUAAUAUUAAACGCUGGUACCAUGUAUCUAUCUACAACUACCCUGCACCAGCUUUUAAUUGGAGGUGGUCAAUAACACUAAGCUGGAUUAGUUUUCUUAAGCCUAUUUCCAUAAUGUUGUUAGACAUUAGAAGCUCCAGAAAAAUCCAUUCCAAAACACAAUAAAAAUUUGAAAUGUUUUCAAAGGAAAAUCUAGGCAAAGAUAUUGCCGUUGGUAAAAGGUAAACUCCAUAGUUUUUUGAAAGUACUGAUGUAGUUGAGGUCAAAUUUGACUUAGAGAAAAUGCAUAUGUAUUCCAGAUAUAGCAGUAAGUAAUAGACUAGCAUCAAUUAUGGCAUAAAAGGAAUUCAUAUUACAAUAAUAUUUUUAAAGGACACCAAUGAAGAUUAACUCAUUAAUGAAGAAUUAACUGAUGAAGUUCAUAGUAGAAAAAAAAUUGUUCACAACACCUGUUUAACCACAUAUAAGAUUUGGUACAUCAAGUUAAUCUGUUAUGAACUUAAAGAAAAAACCAUAGUUAAGUAAUGCAUCAAACUUUAGAGCCAGCCAUGACCUGAGGGCAUAUGAAACAUAAUCAGGGUAAUUCAUACCCUAUUCAUUACCCAGCUGUUUAAGUUUGGAAUAACACAUACUCUAAAUCCACUCACAUCUUAAGAAUCUACCAAAACAAAAUAUUUAUAUUCAUAUACAUAAAACCAUUGAUCAAUAUAUUCUAAAGCUACUCUUCUUUAAACACUUCUUCGUCCAUUGUAAAGCUCCUCUAAUUGAAACAUUUUCCCAAACACCUUAAAGGCAUAAUUAGCAUAAGACAUUAGAUUUACAAGCAACCCUGUAAAAUAGUUAAUGGGAUCAUACAGCAAAGGACAAAAUAUAUAAGUUAUAUCUAUAACAGUAUACUAACCUCAUUUUAUCUCCACUUUUUUUAAUAUAAAAGUUUUACCCCUCAAUUUGCACAUUGAAGUUUUACUUCCACCCUGUCUAUUUUUAUGCUCUAUGUUUCAAUUUUUUAUUUUUUUUAUCAACAAAGAUUAAAUAAAUUAAAAGAGAAACUUCAGAAGUAUCUUAACCCUUUAUACAAUAUACAACCUAACCAUCUUGCUUUCAAAUCCAUAAACAUAACAAUCUUCACCAACAAACAAAAAACCGUAACAUUUUGAAUUGUAUGCUUCCUGCAGAAUUAUGCAGCAAGCUUAAAUUCUGCAGAAAAACAGAACAUAAAACCAUAUGAAGUGGGGGCAUAUGAAGUGUGGCUCUUUCUCCUACUACUAAUGUAGAUGCAAACAAAGAUGUUUAAAGGAUACUAAUAAUAGAAAUCAAAUUGAGAUAAAUAUGUUGAAUGAGAGUUUUUAAGAGUUCUUCUUUAGUUAACAUUAUAAGAGUUAAAUUAUUUUCUUAUAUGCAGUAAAAAACAUCUUAUUUAUUUUAAUAUACCCUUUCCAUAUUUAUUCUAAUUAAAUUGAAUUUUAAUUUUUUCUUUUAAAAAUGUGCUAUAAUUGUUAAGAAAAUCUUAUAUAAGAAUAACUUUUUAUCAUAAAUUUUAAAGUUAAUUUAUAUACUAAAAUAUUUAUUUAUUAUGAAUUUUAAUUAUAAUAUAAUUUUUAUAUUUAAAAUUAUUAAUUUGUUAUAAAUUUUAGGUAUACAAAAUAAACAUUUAUCAUACACCAUGAACAACCUAAAAAAAUAUUACAGUUACAUAUAAUUUCUCAUAAAACUAAAAAGAAUGUUUUUCCUUUGGGAUCACUUAUAUAAAUAAUCUAGAACACCAAAAUUAAAACUAAGUUAUGCUAAAAAGGAGAAAUAGUAUUUUUUUAUUUUAAUGAGUUAAAAUAGUCAUUUGCAAUUAUAUAUAUAGCCCCUAUAUAUAAAAUGAAAAAAAAAAUCUAAAUCUCCACUUCAUUCUAUUUACUAUGAAGAAAUUUCACUCAUUUCUUUUUAUAAUAUAGUUUUUAAACAACAUAAAAAUUCCAAAUAAACCCUAACCUGAACUUUGGUAGAACUUUUCAUCAUCCAUCCUCAUUCCACAGCUUGGACCAAAAACUGCCCACUGUGCAUUUGUGGAACAACACUGUGGAAAUAUGUCUAACAGUACAUGCAAACACUCACCACACUCAUCACUUGGAAUAUCCCUGUCACACUGCACCCAACCAUAUCUUUUCUCAUUGUCAACCCAAUCAAAUUCAUCCACUGCCCAAAACUUCUUGGUAUCUAUGGUUACUUUUGUAAUCAAACUCUCCAUAGAAUCCUCAACUUUCUUAGCUUCUGCUGAAUCCUGUAUUUGGAUGAAGAAAUUUAAGACAGAAAUUUGAGUUUUAGGUGAAUUAAAAUAUCAUACCUCAAAAUUUUAAAUGUAAAGGUUUUUUAAAAGGCUAAAUAGUUUUACUGUCAUAGGAUCAAAAGCUAUUACCUGUGAUACAAGUUCUAUAGGUAAAAUUAGAUUGAAUGACAUUUGUAAAACAGUUUUAUGUAUAUAUACAUAGUCAUAGUAAAAGUUUUUUAAUGAUGAAAAUUUUAUGGGAUAAUAUUUGAAAAGACAAAAGAAAGAAAUUUCAAAUAAAAAGGAAUGAACUGUAUAUAACACAGUAAAUGACAUCUGCAUAAUACAUAAAGUAAAUGACUAAUUGGAGUUUUUAUACUGCUAUUCAAUCCUAAACCAUGAUACUAAGUUUGUUGAUUUCAGAAUAACUUUUAAAGGUUCAUUAUAUUAAACUCAAGUUAAAUUAUUCUAUCUAAAUAAAAUAUUUAAAAAGUUAACAAGUAUAGUAUAAACAGGAUAAACUAGACUUAAAUCUCUUAUUCAAAUUUUUACUUUUGAAUUAUGCAGAUAAAGAAACAUAGUUAAAAGGAAAAAAGCUUCUGAAAAAGUGAUUAAUCAGACUUCUUAAUUAACCUUAAAAACCCUUGUAUACUUCACAAUAAAAAAUUUAACUAGAGUAAAAAAGGUAUAAACUAGACUUAAAUCUCUUAUUCAAAGUUUUACCUUUGAAUUAUGCAGAUAAAGAAACAUAGUUAAAAGGAAAAAAGCUUCUGAAAAAGUGAUUAAUCAGACUUCUUAACCUCAAAAACCCUUGUAUAAUAAUUUCAUGCUAAAAAACACCAUCUAUCUUAAGCUAUCUGAAUUUUCAUAUUCCUUACUGAAAAGUUACCUUGAUUUUUUUGGGUCCUGUAAUAUUCCAUGUUGGGGUUAAACUAACUUUGCCAUUGAAACUCUGGUUUGAGUAACGGAUGAUGCAUAUAUCAUACCAUAUGAUAGCUCUUACAGCGUUGGGACACCUCCGAGAGAGUUCACUGGCAGCAGUGGUGAUGCAGAACCGACAAAAAUACCCUGUGAUGUCGUAUCUGCAGCUGUACAAUCCAUAAACAGCAUCAUCAUCAUUGUUGUUGUUUACAGUGGUGUAGUUGUAUCCAUCACUUUGGUCUGAGUCUGUGGUUACCCAUGAGAGGAGGGUGUCAACGUUGGCUUUGUAUGAAGGGCUAACAGAAGUUGAGUUCUCACAAAAAUUGUACAUGUAAAUUGGUGCUUGAGCUCUUGUUGUGGUGAAAAGGAGGAACAAGAAGCUAACACUAACCCUAAUAGGGAUCAUGAAUAUUUGUGUUUUGAUCCCUAUGAAGUUUUGGUGCUGUAUCAGACAAGGUUUUGAGGACAAGGUUGAUAAAGUGAAGUGGACUAUGGUGAGAAAAUGGUAGGAUUAAUUUACAAGUCAAUUUGCACAUGGUUUUUGAUUAUUAUUAUUAUUAUUAUAUUAGAUUUGAAGACGUAGUUAAUCUUUUGAUGGGAUAAGUUUAUUCUUCUCUCUUAAUGGAAAAACCUGCUUUAUUCUUUGUUUCUGUCUUAAACACUGUUAAUUAGUAUUCAAGUGUCUAAUACUUAUAAACUAUGAAGGAUAGAGAUUUACACUGAUACUAAUAUGGAUACGAAAAUACGUAUAAUCUCUAAAAUUUAAGACACGAAAACAUAAAUUUAUAUAUUAUAUAAUUAUGAAUUAUAUAAAUUGAUAAUAAAGAUUUAUGUGUAUAAAUAUAUUUUAGUUUUUUUUAAGCAGAUUAUUUCUCAUGGUUAGUUUAAAAGGAUUUGUUCCUUAUUUUUAUAAUCAUAAUAAAAAUUUAUAUAAUAAGUUUAAAUUUUUAAAAAGUGUAUUUUUCCUUUUUAAAAUUGUGUUAGAACUUUGCUAUAAUUGAUAGAAAUUCAACAAAUAUUUUUUGAAUUUGACACUUCACUAAUAUGUCUGACACGUGUAUCUAACACAGACACAUCAUAUAAGAGGUGUGUCCAAGUCUCAUAAAUGGUUACUUAUAUGAUAAAAACAUAUAUAGGUUUUAAAUUUAAAUGAUAACAAAAUUGAAAUCAAAUUUAAUGAACUAGAAAGAUAUUUAAAACAUAACAUUGAACGAUUUUUGGAAUCGUAGAUAACAUUGUUUUUAAACGUUUACAACAAUCCUUUCUAUAAAGAUACACGUUUUAGUAUGUUUUUUCAAACGAUUCAAUUGGAUUAGUGUAAUUUAUAUAGUUGAAGUCAGUGUAAUGUUAUAAAAAUAAUCAACUUUUUUUUUAUAAAUUUGUAAAUAACACAAGUCAUUAACAAUACGUUUGAAGUUUGAAUUAGCGUAAUUAAAUUAAAUAACUUAUCUAACACGCGAGCAAGGGUUUGAUUAUUGAAUGGAACAUUCUUCAAGUGGAGAUUACUUUUUCGUAAUAAUGAAUGUGUUUGAAUUGAAUGCUGUGUUGGACUGUAGCUUAGAAAAAGAAGAGAAAGUGUUGGGUGUUUACAUUAAGAAAAUUGUCACUAGUCAACAAAAACUCCACCAACAUACAUUUUCUAAGCACUCAUCACAUGAGUCAAACUCGCGUGUUAAUUCUAAUUUUGACUUUUUGGUACAUUUUCUAUUUCUAAAUUUAUAAUCCUCCUAAUUAAGAUAAAUUAAAUUAUUCUUUUCCAAGUAAAUUAGAGUGUUUUUUAGUUUUAGUAUGACAACAUUUAAUGAUUUUUUAUUCUUAAAUAAAUUUACAAAUUUUGUAUUUGGUUUCUCAUUUUUUUAUAUGUUGGUCCAUCACCACAUGUUCUUUUCGCAAGUUGGCUUUAAGAUGUUAUGGGUGGUCCGAUAACGGACGGAUGGCGGGUGGCCUGAUAAACCCAACAAAUACUCGCUAGGAUAGAGGCAAUUACUUCCUGCACCCGAUCAUUUGCUUCCUGCACCCGACGAAAUUUUAAAACCCAACUAUGCCCUUGUCUUCUUUAAUUAGAAAAGCUGUGAAGGUUUCUUUGGAAAAGCUCUGACGAUGGUGCUUUGAGUUGGUUUUCUUCAUUGGUGGUGUUUUGAGUUGCGUAGGAGGCGGAUUUACAGUGGUGGUGGAUUUACAGUGGUGGUGGUGCAUUGUUGUGAGGUAAGAACCGAUAAGGUGCUUCUUUAUCACAUUUUUUCGAGCUCAGCUAGUGACGGAUACCGAUAUCCAGAAUUGUUUUUUAACGUUACGGAUGUAAGCGUCCGUAAGUGAGUAACAUUUUCUGCACCAUAUCACUACAUUACGGAUAUAAUUAUCCGUAAUUGUAUUUUGAAUUAUGGAUAUCCAUAUCCGUAGUUGUAUUUUGAAUUAUGGAUAUCCAUAUCCGUAGUUUACUUUUGAAUUAUGGAUAUCCAUAUCCGGAAUAAAUGAUUAUUUUAUGCAAGCUAAGUUUUUUUUUCUUUUUUCAGCAUUGUGAAUGGAUACACAAGACUCAUACAUGGGAAUUUCAGGAGAGAUUGAUUUGUGGGAUGGAUUAGACGAUGUUGAUAUGGAGCAGUCAAUAACUUACAAUGCGUUAGAUAAUGAAGAUAUGACACAUAAGUGUAUUGAGGCAUUUACUACAAAUGAGGUAAUGUAAGUUGGGGUUUUGAAUUUUAUUGUUUAUGAAUGAUUUUAAAAUUUGGCAUAUGUUAUUGUAGGUAUUUCGUGAUCGAGAUGAGUUGUUAGAGUGGGCGAGAAGUGUUGAUUAUAGUUGUGGGUUUGUUAUUGUUAUAUUAAGGUCAGAUACAUGGACGGGCCAACGAGGAAGGAUGACAUUCGUAUUAUUAGGUUGUGAGAGAGGAGGUAGAUACCGACGGUAUAAAAAAGACGUAGAUAUAAGUGGAACGGGAAGUAGGAAGUGUGAGUGUCCUUUCAGAUUGCGAGGCAAACCAGUCAAAGGUGGUCAAUGGUGGAUGGUUGAAUUAAUUUGUAGAUCUCACAAUCAUGAUUUGGCAGAGACAAUGGUAGGUCAUCCAUAUGCUGGAAGGUUAAGUGUAGAGGAAAAGGUUAUGGUGGAGGAUAUGACUAAAACUUCAGUGAAGGCAAGAAAUAUUUUACUAACAAUGAAAGAGAGAAAUGAGAAGAAUGUGACGACGAUAAAGCAAGUUUAGAAUGCAAUGUGUGUUCACCGAAGAUCACAACGAGGUCACAGAACAGAAAUGCAACAAUUCAUGUUGUUACUGGAGCGAGACAUGUACGUGCAUUGGUGUAGGUGUGAAGAGGUGUCGAAUGUUGUGCAUGAUAUAUUUUGGACACACCCAGAUUCAGUAAAGCUACUGAAACUCAUUUAAUAUUGUCAUAUUGAUGGAUAGUACGUACAAAACAAACAAGUAUAGGAUGCCUUUACUUGAGGUUGUUGGGAUUACAUCAACUGGUUUGACUUUUUCCGUUGCAUUUUGUUUACUAGCAGCAGAAAAGGAAAACAAUUUUUUGUGGGCCCUUGAUAGACUUAAAGGAUUGUUUUUGAGAAUUGAUUCAUACCCUAGGGUGGUAGUAUGUGAUAGAGAUAUUGCCUUAAUGAAUGCAGUGAGAAUCGUGUUUCCUGAAGCUUAUAAUUUGCUAUGUCAAUUUCACAUUGAUAAAAAUGUGAAAGCAAAAUGUAAAAUGUUGGUGCAUCCAAGGGAGGCUUGGGAUCAAGUAAUGCAAGCUUGGGGAUCUGUUGUGGAUUGUGAUAUUGUUGAGGCCUUUGAAGAUCGUGUCAACGCUUUUCAAGUUGUUUGUUCUCCAUGGCCUAUAUUUUUUGAUUAUGUGAUGGAUACAUGGUUACGUCCACACAAAGAAAAAUUUGUGAAGGCAUGGACAGAUAAGGUAAUACACUUAGGAAACACAACAAGUAACAGGGUUGAGGCGGCACACUGGAGCCUAAAGAGAAUUCUUCAAAAUUCUAUGGGGGAUUUAUGUUUCUGUUGGGAUUCGAUCAAUAAGAUGAUUAUUUUACAACAUAAUGCAAUCAAAGCUUCAUUCCAAAAAAGUCUUAAUGUGGUGGGACAUCGAUUUAAGGUUACUGCUUACAAAAAAUUGUUAGGUUUUAUGUCAAAAUAUGCUUUGAACCUUAUUUCUGAAGAGCUUGAUAGGGUCAAAUUAGUGGGGUUUGAUAAAAAUCGGUGUGGAUGUGCUCUUACAUGUACUCAUGGUCUUCCGUGUGCGUGUCAAUUGGCUUCAUUUGGUGUGGGUAGCAUACCACUUAAAUCAGUACAUGUCAUGUGGAAUCGAUUAAGCUUUGAAGAUAUUGCAAGUGAACAAUGUUCAUCUGAGUUGUCAAUUGACAAAGAGUUUGAGGUGAUCGCGAAGCGGUUCAAAGAGUUGGAUGUUGCAAGUAAGGUUAACAUCAAAACUAAAUUGCAAGAGAUAGCCUUUCCAGAGAAGACAUCUAUUAACGCACCACAUGCUAAGGUGAAAACAAAAGGUGCUGUAAAGAUGGCUCGUCCUACGAAAUUCAUGAGAUCAACUAAACGAAUGCCUUCUUAUUUUGAACAUGUGGAUUUCUUACACUCGCAAGAGGAUAGUUGUUCGACUAAAAAAUCUAUGGAAGGACACUUACCACAAAUUCUACCACCAAAAUCCAUUCCUUUCUUUGAUCAGUUCCCUGCAGGGUAUCAUCCAUACAUUCUUGAUGUUGUGGACAUUAAGGCUGAUGGUCAUUGUGGGUACCGUGCUGUUGCUGCCGAAUUGGGCAUGGGAGAGGAGUCAUGGGCUGUUGUUCGAAUGAAUUUGUUAAAAGAACUAAGUGAAUGGAGACAAGAAUAUGUUGAACUGUUUGGUGGUGAUGAACGAUAUGAAUACUUGAAGAAGUCACUUCUAGUUGACCACAUGUCUAUGGUACGAAUGACUAAGACCCUUUCAUUUCUACUUUGCAUUUCACCAUUUAACUUUGUUCCUCAAUUGAACUUGCAGGCAGGAACAGAUAAGUGGAUGACAAUUCCAGAUAUGGGAUACGUUAUUGCUAAUCGGUACAAUGCUAUUUUGGUUUCAUUGUCCAUGAUACAAUCAUUGACUAUCUUUCUGUUAAGAACCCAACCACCAAGUAACUUCACUCAACACCGAAUCAUUGCAAUUGGGCACAUCCAUGGAAAUCAUUUUGUCCAGGUAUACCCAAAACGUCCAUGUAAAGUGACUAAUAGUGCUAACUUAAAACUUAUAUUAUGUAACUUAUAUUUAUUACUUUUAUAGGUGAAGUUGAAAGCUGGUUGUCCUAUUCCACCUAAGAUAUAUUGUGGGCAUCGCAUUGUUAUCCUACAGCCCAAUCUUGGUCAACAUACUACACUAGCCGGAUGCAAGUUUACACACAAAUAAUGUCCAUUAGACGAUAUUUCUAAUCUUAAACAUUAGUAAUAGAUAAGUAAUGUUGUUGUUUUGGGAUGCAAAAUUCGGAAGUCAAUCAGGUGCAGGGAGAAUGUGCCUAGGAUAGACUCUGAUACCAUGUUAAGAAGUGGGCUUUAAGCCUAACUCAACCUCAUAAAAUCAACUCAAUGAAGUGAGGUUUGCACCCACUUAUAUACUAUGAAAGGCUCUAAUCUCUAGUCGAUGUGGGAUUUCCAACAAGGAAUUUACCAAUUCAAAAUAUAACUUAACACUCUAAAUUGAUCAAUUCAGAACGUAAAUCUGAAUGUGAAAAUACGUUUCGAAUUGGUCAAUCCGAAAUACAAAAUAAUGAGACAUUGUAGAUUAUAAAAUCUUAAAAAGGUAUUUAUGGAUCCUGAAAAUUACUUUUAUUAAGGAUAAAAUGGAUUUUUUUGUCUGACCUAUGUGCCGUGCGAGAAGAAAGUAUGAGGGUGAAAAAUCGAAGUUGAAGACAUUGAUUUGUCAUAUGGGUAUGAAACUGAAUACCUCUAUUUUGAAGAUUCUGAUAGUAAUGGUCAAAUAUUUGGUAACUACAAGAGAUACAAACCAACCAAAAUAUGUCAGAAUUUUUCAUUUAGGUUGGGGAAUGGACUUUGCUAACACAUUUGGAUUAAAAUGAACAAAAGGGAGAGGGUGAAAUGUCACUGUGAUUGUGGGUUUUUGGCUUAUGUGAGUAAAGUGGGUAGGAGUGAAACCUACAAAUUAAAGACUUUGAAAGCAGAGCACAACCGUGGAAGGUUUUUCAACAGCAAAAAUGAGAGAUCUAAGUGGGUUGCAAAAGAGUUAAGAUCUUGCAACAAGGUAAAGUUAAGUGAGAUAAUGGAUGAUAUGAGGUUCAAAUAUGCAACAUUUAUAACCAUGUUUGUGGCAUGGAGGGAAAGAGAGUUUGCUAAAGGAAUGAUUCAUGGGGAGGCUAAUAGUGAGUUCAACAUGUUAUAGUCUUACUCCCCAUAAUUGCAUAAGGUCAAUGUUGGCAAAAGUUGAAGUGGCAAUAAUUAAAAAUUUCAGCUGCAAUGUUGUUACCUAGAUCUGGAAGCUAAUACAUGUUCCUUGAAGGAUACAAAAUGGCAUUCAAAAGUGCAUGCAGACCAAUCAUGGGUCUAGAUGGGUGUUAUUUGAUAACAAAGUCUAAUGGUUGUUGGAAGAGACCCCGAUAAUCAAUAUCUUCUUGCUUUUUCUGUUGUGGAGCAAGAACACAAUGAAACUUAGACUGGUUCUUAGACUUACUUCUUGAUGACAUUGAUGACAUAACAAUGAUUAAAUGGUAUUCCUAAGUGACAAACAAAAGGUGAUUCAUGAUGCUGUUAAUUUGUCUUUGCGUUAUUAAUGUUAAGGAUUUCAAUGGAAUGAAUACAUACUAAUAUUCACCUUGCUAAAUCAGUUGAGACUGUUACAUCAUUAAUAGAAAGAUUCUUGGUACUUCUUGAAGCUGAUGCUUCUUUAGAGGUCAAUUUUCCAACAGAAAAUGCAGGGUGAUUGGGUUUUGGAAGGGCCAUUGAUUCACUACCUAGCAUUAGAACAACCGUAGACAUGGUUGGUCUAUCUGCUGCAUCUUGUUGAACACACAGCAAUCCAAUGUGUAAGCACUUGACAAC
rnacentral:lncRNA from 1 species